rnacentral:rRNA from 1 species
GAUGAACGCUGGCGGCGUGCCUAAUACAUGCAAGUCGAGCGAACGGACGAGAAGCUUGCUUCUCUGAUGUUAGCGGCGGACGGGUGAGUAACACGUGGAUAACCUACCUAUAAGACUGGGAUAACUUCGGGAAACCGUAGCUAAUACCGUAUAAUAUUUUGAACCGCAUGGUUCAAAAGUGAAAGACGGUCUUGCUGUCACUUAUAGAUGGAUCCGCGCUGCAUUAGCUAGUUGGUAAGGUAACGGCUUACCAAGGCAACGAUGCAUAGCCGACCUGAGAGGGUGAUCGGCAACACUGGAACUGAGACACGGUCCAGACUCCUACGGGAGGAAGCAGUAGGGAAUCUUCCGCAAUGGGCGAAAGCCUGACGGAGCAACGACGCGUGAGUGAUGAAGGUCUUCGGAUCGUAAAACUCUGUUAUUAGGGAAGAACAUAUGUGUAAGUAACUGUGCACAUCUUGACGGUACCUAAUCAGAAAGCCACGGCUAACUACGUG